rnacentral:rRNA from 1 species
UACGUAGGGUCCGAGCGUUGUCCGGAAUUACUGGGCGUAAAGAGCUCGUAGGUGGUUUGUCGCGUUGUUCGUGAAAACUCACAGCUCAACUGUGGGCGUGCGGGCGAUACGGGCAGACUUGAGUACUGCAGGGGAGACUGGAAUUCCUGGUGUAGCGGUGGAAUGCGCAGACUAUCAGGAGGAACACCGGUGGCGAAGGCGGGGUCUCUGGGCAGUAACUGACGCUGGAGGUGCGAAAAGCGUGGGGAGCAAACAGG